rnacentral:rRNA from 1 species
UACGAAGGGGCGAGCGUUGUUCGGAAUUACUGGGCGUAAAGGGCGCGCAGGCGGUCCUUCAAGUCAGAUGUGAAAGCCCCGGCUCAACCUGGGAACUGCAUUUGAGACUGGAGGACUUGAGGACGGGAGAGGAGAGUGGAAUCCCAGUGUAGAGGUGAAAUUCGUAGAUAUUGGGAAGAACACCGAUGGCGAAGGCAGCUCUCUGGACCGUUACUGACGCUGAGCGCGAAAG